rnacentral:pre_miRNA from 1 species
AACAUGAGAAUGACAAAUAAGAUUUUUCCUUCUGAUUUUCAGCUUUUUUCUCCUGAAAAAUUCAAAUCCAUCUAAAAAUAUUAAAAAUCAAGAGAAAAAAUCUGAUUUGUCAUUCUCCUAUU